rnacentral:lncRNA from 1 species
CUUGAAAGCUAGGGGUUUAUAAACAAAACUCUUACAAAAGACCAAGUCCUUUAUGAAGAAUAUUCCUUUAAUGUCAAUGAGGUAAUAAUAGAACAAUCAAGUCUAGGAAAGUGAUGGUUAACCUUUUAGAGACUGAGUGUCAUGCCUCAUCUCCAGAGACUGUGUGCUGUGCCCUACCCCCCCCGGGGUGCCAGGUAUCCAUGGUAUUAGGCUCUCUUUGCCUGAAGGUCUUGGAUGGGAGAGAACCAUUUAUCUCUGUACCUGAUCUUCUUCCAUUGUUUAAAUUGAACCAUGACUUUCUGACUUUAUCUUUGACACUAGCUACAUUUAUUAAGAUACAGAACACCUCUCUAGUUAGAUGUGUGCCUCAAACAGUCUAAAACUGACUAACAUUCGACCUUUUGUCUGCUCUGACCCAUGAGUAACUAACCUAUUUCACUGUAUAGUUUUGUGAUCUGCCUCAGGCCAGCAGAGUGAUUGCAAAGUUGAAUUUAUAAUAGUUUAGAUAUUUCACAAGAUGCUAAAAAAGGGUUUUAUUUCAUUUUUUCUGUUUAAAUGAGAUAGUUUAAGGUAUCAGAUUUAAGAAUAUUAUUUUGUACAUGGUUAGGGAAUCAUUUUAGAAAGCUAGGAAAUAAAACAUUUAAUCACCAAGCA